GACGAACGCUGGCGGCGUGCUUAACACAUGCAAGUCGAACGGUAAGGCCCUUCGGGGUACACGAGUGGCGAACGGGUGAGUAACACGUGGGUGAUCUGCCCUGCACUUCGGGAUAAGCCUGGGAAACUGGGUCUAAUACCGGAUAGGACCCUGGGAUGCAUGUCCUGGUGGUGGAAAGCUUUUGCGGUGUGGGGUGGGCCCGCGGCCUAUCAUCUUGUUGGUGGGGUGAUGGCCUACCAAGGCGACGACGGGUAGCCGGCCUGAGAGGGUGACCGGGAACACGGGGACGGGGAUGCGGCCCAGACUCCUACGGGGGGCAGCAGUGGGAAAUAUUGCACAAUGGGCGCAAGCCUGAUGCAGCGACGCCGCGUGAGGGAUGACGGCCUUCGGGUUGUAAACCUCUUUCAGCACCGACGAAGCGCAAGUGACGGUAGGUGCAGAAGAAGGACCGGCCAACUACGUGCCAGCCGCCGCAGUAA
rnacentral:rRNA from 1 species